AUCUGUGUGUGACGGUUUCAGAUGAAUCAAGAUGGCUCCUCUGACAUAUCUACUCUGCGUUCUCUACUUUUAUAUUCAAACUUCCAAUGGUGAGAUUGUGAUGACACAGAAACCGAGUCAUAUUUUUGCAUUUCCUGGAGAAAAGGUCAUUAUCUCAUGUACUUCCAGCUCCAGCACCUAUUACUCUGCUAUUUCAAAGUAUGAAGUCAGCUGGUACAUGCUUAAAGAAGGGCAUCUUCCAAAGCUUCUUGUAUAUUACGCCACCACUCUACAUUCUGGGACACCAGCCCGGUUCAGUGCUACCGGAUCAGGCAAUGAUUUCUCUCUAACGAUUGAUGGGGUAAAGGAAGAGGAUGCAGGAGGUUAUUACUGCUCCAGUGAUUAUGGCAACCCAAUCACACAGUGA